rnacentral:rRNA from 1 species
UCUAAGUAUCACCUGCCAGACAGGGAAACUGCGUACGGCUCAUUACACCAGCCUUAAUUUACUUGACCUUGACAACCUACUUGGAUAACUGUGGUAAUUCUAGAGCUAAUACAUGCACCAAAGCUCCGAUCCUCGCGGAGAGGAGCGCAUUUGUUCGCCACAAAACCAAGCGCCCAUCUGGGCGUCCAGUGCUGAACCAGAACAACUCAGCUGAUCGCACGGUCUUGUACCGGCGACGUGUCUUUCAAGUGUCUGCCUUAUCAACUUUCGAUGGUAGUGUACCUGACUACCAUGGUUGUGACGGGUAACGGAGGAUAAGGGUUCGACUCCGGAGAAGGGGCCUGAGAAAUGGCCACUACGUCUAAGGAUGGCAGCAGGCGCGCAAAUUACCCACUCUCAACGCGAGGAGGUAGUGACGAGAAAUAACGAGACCGUUCUCAUACGAGGCCGGUUAUUGGAAUGGGUACAAUUUAAA